rnacentral:rRNA from 1 species
CAGUAGCCGCGGUAAUACGAAGGGGGCUAGCGUUGUUCGGAAUUACUGGGCGUAAAGCGCACGUAGGCGGACAUUUAAGUCAGGGGUGAAAUCCCGGGGCUCAACCCCGGAACUGCCUUUGAUACUGGGUGUCUAGAGUAUGGAAGAGGUGAGUGGAAUUCCGAGUGUAGAGGUGAAAUUCGUAGAUAUUCGGAGGAACACCAGUGGCGAAGGCGGCUCACUGGUCCAUUACUGACGCUGAGGUGCGAAAGCGUGGGGAGCAAACAGGAUUAGAUACCCCGGUAGUCCCUGUCUCUUAUAC